rnacentral:lncRNA from 1 species
CUGUAGUAUCAGUUGCAAUUUUAAUAAACACACUGUCUAAUGCUUUUUUCUAGAUCAUUAAUGAAGAUGGUAAAUAAAACUGGAGUUAACACCAGUUUCUAGUAAUAACCCUACUGGAUGCCUCCCCACAAGCUGACAGUUUUGUCGCUGAUCACUAUUCAUCACCCAGCCCGAACGUCAGUGUCCCCGUGUGAGAGAUCAGAGCACACCACUGCCGAGGGCAGUCAAAUACCCAGGACAUGGACUGUCUACUGUGAUGACUUUUGAGGGAGAACACGGCUUUGUGCAAAGACCCUUACACUGCAAGAACCUCUGUGCUCCCCAAAUGACUCCAACAAGGAUGAGCAUAUUGCCAUGGCAACCAAAAUACAGAAGCUGGGAAAGCACCAGAGACAGUGGAAGGGACACCCUCCAGCACCUCUGGGAGACUCUGCAGACCCUUCAUCACCAAGGCUUUGUCAGGAGGAGGCUGCCUGCCGUUUCUAUAUUGUCUCACAUGGUCAUGGAGCACUGCAGGUAAUGGAAACCUUUAGUUUUCAUUGAUUAUUCACAGCGCAGUUUGCUUUGCUAGGCAUCCUCAUAGGCCACAAACCCUGCAGCCUUCCAGCAUGGGUGAGGGGACACAUUUCCUUGACACAGACAAUUUGGCUUGAAAAUUAAUUUCCUUGGAGUGUUCCAGCUCUGCAGGUAAUGGACACUUCGGUGACUUUGACUUGGGUUCACUCUUUACCAACUGCUUGUGCCAGCUCUGGGCCUCCUGGAUUCCCCUAACCCAGCUGCUGCCCCUGAGAGGGUUUGUUAUCCCAUUUAUGCCAGGACCUUGCCUCCUUACAUCCAGACAUGAAUUCCAUUUGCUAAUCCUGAUCUCUGCCCUGCAGGGAGCUGACUCGGGUUCCUGACAGUGUGAGCUGGGACCUAGCAAGGCCAGCAAGCAAAUGUUGAAACUCAGACAUCUCUAUGUCACUUUAAAUUUUGGGGGGGAAAUCCUGAGAAGCUCUUUAUGGAGAUUGUAUUUUUGCAGCAGCCUGUUUCCUCUUUCCCUCUCCUUCUUUGCUUUCCCCACCUCUUUGUCUGCUAAAUAAAACAACCUACA